rnacentral:lncRNA from 1 species
GAAAUCUCUGCUUAUCCUAACAGCCACCCUGUCAAUUAAGUCAAUUAUUAGGACAAAUGUGAUGGACUGGAACAUGUGAUGUACACCUAUGACAUUGAAACUUUUCACUUUAUGGCAUUUCCUUUCCCACAUACUGUCAUUCCAAAAGGCUCCAUCCAACCAGCUGUGACUUCAGGAACCGAAAGAUCAAAAGAGUUUUGGCAAUAAGUCUAAAAGCUCUUUGAUCUGUCAGUCUCCUACCUGCCAUUCACAUUCAUCAUCAUGGCUUUUAGGAAAGUAGAAAGCAUGUAGAGUUGGCCUCCCAUUGAAAGAAAUCCCAAAAAGGAUUUAUAGUGGUUUCCUAUGUUUGAUAAAUGCCACCAUGUCAAACUAAGUCUCCCUUACCAAAGUCAAAGCAAAAGUGAUGGGACAAUGGGUGGAAUGAUGGAUAGAUGGAUGGCUAAACAGACUAAGAAGUAUAGGAUACUUAUGAGGAUGGCUUGUCUAUCAGAAAGAUGAAUGGGUACAUGUCUUUCCUCCCUUCCUUAGCUCUUCCUGGUUGCCCUGGUUUAUCUUGGGCAAUGACAUCAUCAUAUUCUAUGGCAGUUAUGCUCCUUGCCCCUGCCCCACCAACCUAUGGGUUGCCAUAGGAACAGCCAUAAACAUUGUUACGUCAUCACCAUUCCAUUUCCUACUCCUUUCUUCAGUUGGGAGUGGUGGAAGUGCUCUCUCAAGUGACUGGAAAAAAGGCUUUCCUAAUCAAGUUAUUUGCCAUGACUAGUAAGACAUGAAGCCAUUGGGGUAUUCAGAUAUCUCUUUUAUUUAUUUCUCCAAGAGGGUUACAAAGAAGCCAACUGUGAAGCCAUGGAUGCAUAACUGAGAACCUCCUCAAAUCUUUGGCAAGCACCUCUUGAGGCCAGGAUGGAGCACAGCCUGGGAGGUAAUGACUCUCACUGCCAUUCUGCCAGUGCUCCCAUUUCCCCUUCAGCAUUGUUUUCUGAGAACAUCAAGCCCCUCCACACAGGACCCCAAGAAUCUUCUAGAAAACCAGCAGUCUUCGGCUCACACGGGCUUCAUUAUUCUUUUCCAAUGGCUGCCACUAAGGAGAGCCAUCGAGGUGUGUGGGGAAUGUUCACCUGUGGCAGUCCCACCGCGUUAUGCCACAUCUGAGCCAACCUAGGCAGGGAGGCAGUUCUGGGGCAGCUUGAAGGGUGCACUGAGGCUUGCAGAAUGCGACCUGUAUUCAACGGGGAAUAAAACCUAGAAAAAAACCA